AUUGAACGCUGGCGGCAUGCCUUACACAUGCAAGUCGAACGGUAACGCGGGGCAACCUGGCGACGAGUGGCGAACGGGUGAGUAAAGCAUCGGAACGUGCCCAGUAGUGGGGGAUAGACCGGCGAAAGCCGGAUUAAUACCGCAUACGACCUAAGGGUGAAAGGGGGGGAUCGCAAGACCUCUCGCUAUUGGAGCGGCCGAUGUCAGAUUAGCUAGUUGGUGGGGUAAAAGCUCACCAAGGCGACGAUCUGUAGCUGGUCUGAGAGGACGACCAGCCACACUGGGACUGAGACACGGCCCAGACUCCUACGGGAGGCAGCAGUGGGGAAUUUUGGACAACGGACGAAAGUCUGAUCCAGCCAUGCCGCGUGCGGGAAGAAGGCCUUCGGGUUGUAAACCGCUUUUGUCAGGGAAGAAAUCCUUUGAGCUAAUACCUCGGGGGGAUGACGGUACCUGAAGAAUAAGCACCGGCUAACUACGUGCCAGCCGCCGCAGUAA
rnacentral:rRNA from 1 species